AUGGUUAUGUUGUUAUGUUGUUAUGAGGAUAUGUUGUAGUACAAUUUGAAUGAAAGUAAUUGUUAUGUUCUUAUGUUGUCAUGAAAAUAUUGACCAUGUUAUGAGGAUAAUGUUAUGUUCUUAUAAUGUUGUGUUAUGUUCUUAUUAUGUCCCAUAGCACCACAUUUUGCACAUGAGACAGAUGAAAAUCUCCCUAGUAGUAUAUGGGGAUUUCUAGGUUCA
rnacentral:lncRNA from 1 species